GAUGAACGCUGGCGGCGUGCUUAACACAUGCAAGUCGAACGGAAAGGCCAGUGCUUGCACUGGUACUCGAGUGGCGAACGGGUGAGCAACACGUGGGUGAUCUGCCCUGCACUUCGGGAUAAGCCUGGGAAACUGGGUCUAAUACCGGAUAGGACAAUGGUUUGGAUGCCGUUGUGGAAAGUUUUUUCGGUGUGGGAUGAGCUCGCGGCCUAUCAGCUUGUUGGUGGGGUAAUGGCCUACCAAGGCGUCGACGGGUAGCCGGCCUGAGAGGGUGUACGGCCACAUUGGGACUGAGAUACGGCCCAGACUCCUACGGGAGGCAGCAGUGGGGAAUAUUGCACAAUGGGCGCAAGCCUGAUGCAGCGACGCCGCGUGGGGGAUGACGGCCUUCGGGUUGUAAACUCCUUUCGCUAGGGACGAAGCGUAUUUGUGACGGUACCUGGAGAAGAAGCACCGGCUAACUACGUG
rnacentral:rRNA from 1 species